ensembl:snoRNA
CAGUCCAGCCUCUGAUGAAGCCUAUGUUAUAGUAGGAACAUCUGAGUGGUAAUGAAUGCCAGCAGCUCUGAUGAAAAAAA